GCGCCCCGUGCCUAAUGGAUAAAGGCAUCGGUCUCCUAAACCGGGAUUGCGGGUUUUGAACCCCGCCGGGGGUA